GGUCGCGGGGGACCGCCUGGGGAUCCCCGCACGGCGGCGAGGAGUGACGGUUGGCUCGGGCUGCUUUCCUCCCUCCACCGCCUGCUUGUUUCGCCAUGCGCGGGCCGGACGGUGGGGCUGCAGCGGUGAAAGCGACUGAAGUCCGGGAGCAGUCGCAUGAGCUUCCCGGUCACCAGGAGGCCCCGGGAACAGACACCUCACCCUGACAUUGUGGCAGGAACUUCUGGAUUGCUUUCCAAAGUGGCUGCACUGUUUUCUAUCCCCACUGGUAAAUGGCAGGAAAACAUCUAAGAAUGGAGGCUCCCCCUUCCCUUGCAGGGUGACCAGCAAUUAAAAAGAAGUACUAGAGAGGCAAAUAUUGGCAGUAUACAUCUGAAAAGAAGGAACUCAGCCCAAGAACUUGCCCAAUCUGAUACUGGAGAUGCCACUCAAGAACCACUCCCUCCAAGAUGUUUUCCUGGAUUUCCUCAGCCUAAAGUAAUCCCUCUUUUUCCUGGCUAUACCAUGUGGAACAGAUGACUUCCAAGGACACCGUAGCAAAGAAAAAGAGAACUGGAAGCUCAUGUGCCUUAAUCGCCUCAUCCUAGAGGGCUCGGCAGUCUGGAAAUAGAAACAAUGGUGGUGGAUCGAUUCAAUUGAUCCAGAUUUGGAAGUUGCGUGGCAGAUGAAUGUGUUUCUCGCAAACUUGGGGGCCAAUCUGGGAUCUCUGUGCCUGCGUGGAGUUGGACUCCGGCCAAGAGGGGAGAGGCGUCCCACCUGAUUUAAGUGGCCUGCUCUGUCUGGGAAUCCCGGCUCCCUGCAGAGGCCAUAGACAAACCUGAGACUGUUAUUCAGGAGGCAGUGGAGGUGACACAGGGAGAAAAGCAGGCACCGUGGCAACCAGGCAACCUCAUAUACGAGCCAAGUGAACUACAGGAGCAUGUGAGGAAUAACUCUGCCCAGAGGAACCUGUUCAAAUCCCAGGGUCUGUGGCUUUUGUGUGCAGAGGAACAGCUCUGUCAUGGCAACCUGACAACAGAGACCACACAGACAAAGACUUGACCUGCAGUUUAUCUGAAUCUUGGCAGAACUCCUUGUGAUCUUCUCGGUGUACAAGAGGAUAAGAAGUCCCUUUUGUUUUGAUGUCAUCCUUUUUGGUGUGUGAAACAAGGACCACAGGGAGCUGGCACCUUUGGC